AUCACACAAAGCGCAAUAGUGUAGCAAAACUGGCAGUCAAAAUAUUUUGCCUCCUUAUGCUCCUUGCUCUUUCUGCAAGUGCUGCUAACGCGACCAAUUUUCUGCAAUGCUCACAAGAUCCAAUUGCUUCCCUUCUUCCCUCAUACCUCUCACCAGCGACAUCUUCAGUAUGUGAAAACCCAAUUCUUCAACCCUAUAGGAUCCAACAGGCAAUCACAGCAAGCAUCUUACCUUUAUCACCCUUGUUCCUCCAACAACCGCCAGCCCUGUUACAACAAUUACCUUUGGUGCAUUUGUUGGAACAAAGCAUCAAGGCACAACAACUACAACAACCUGUGCUGACAAACCUUGUUGCCUACUCUCAGCAACAAUAGUUUCUUCCAUUCAACCAACUGGCUGCACUGAACUCUGCUGCUUAUUUGCAACAACAACAACAACUUCCAUUCACCCAGCUAGCUGCUGCCUACCCCCAACAAUUUCUUCCAUUCGACUAACUGGCUGCAUUGAACUCUGUUGCUUAUUUACAACAGCAACAACUAAUACCAUGAAACCAGCUAGCUGUUGCGAGCCCUGCUACCUUCUUGACACAACCACAGUUGAUGUCGUUCUACCUGCAAGCUGUGGCUAACGUCGGCACCCUCUUACAACUACAACAAUUGUUGCCAUUCAUCCAACUUGCUUUGACAAACCCAAUAGUGUUCUACCAACAACCCAUCAUUGGUGGCGCCCUCUUUUAUAUUUCUUAUGGGUUAUAGUUCAAUAAUGAAGUUUUUGGCUGAUGUUUGUGGCUUCCCAGAAAUAAGAAAGUAUAUUUCUAGAUUCUUAUGUGCUACUAGUCUCCAAAUGUGGUUGAUAAUUAUGUUGCUCUAAGAACGGGAGUAAUGAGGUAUAAAUCAUUGUUGAGGUGUGAUACUCGGGUAGUUGAGCAUUAGCACGCACAAAUAUGAUGAGGACGGUAUAAUCUCCAAAAAUAUGUACUUUGUUAGGUGGGACCCUAUAGCCAUGCAGAAUGUGCUCUGUUAGACACGUCGAUGGAAACGUGUCACACAUACGUUUUGUGAACCUAUUGAUAUUGUAUGUGCUUUUAGUUGUGUGGUGCUAUAGAUAUGAGGGCUUGUUUCACGUAAUGAGCUAGGGUAGAAAAAUAAUUAUUUGCCUUGGAUUGUUAUGGAAGAACAUACCAAUUGUGACUGCCAUCUCAAUCUAGCUAACAUCUAAGUGACCUAAAAGGAGAGCAUAAGGAACUGAUCUACAAUGACUAGCCUAGUGGUUUUAUAGGAAAUGGCAAAGAGGAAAAUGUGUUUAAGUUAUUACAAUUGUAUGGUUUAAAACAAGCACCUAAGCACAUGAGAAAUUUUAUGAA